GCUGCUAUCUACACAGAACUUCCAACUUCUUGGAUUGACAGUUGCAGUUCUUCUCGAAAUCAGCAGAUCGUCAUUUUGAUCAUGAAGCUGAUAAUAACCAUAAUGAUCAUCGUGGCUCUGGUGUCGCUGCAAGCAGCAUUAGUUGAUGGGUGCAAAACACUUGGUGAUGAUUGUAGUUAUGAAAGAUGUUGCCCGGGGCUCAAAUGUACUUGGGUUAUCGGCACAGGGAUAAGAAAGUGCUGGUCAAAACCCUAGCACAGAAACCGACAAACAUCCUUUGACUUCAGCAGACAGUAACUCUCUACUUGUGUCUCCUGUCGUAGCCAUGUAACAAGACAUCAACAUUCCCAGAGUAUUUUGUCUGUUUUGAUUCUUUUAAUGAUCAUGUCAGACAUUAUCUACUCUGCUUUAUGAAUAAAGGAUA